ensembl:lncRNA
ACUCCAGUGUUCUUGCCUGAGAAUCCCAGGGACGGCGGACACGACUGAAGCGACUUAGCAGCAGCAGCAGGGGAGAAGCUGCACACCUGCAAAUUGUGCUUGCAAAAUCUGGCAUGAUCAGAGCCCUCAUUAUUCUACUACAAGCAGAUUCUCUUAAGGACUGUAGCCUGUCAGGCUUCUCUGUCCAUGGGAUUUCCCAGUCAAGCAUACUGAAGUGGGUUGCCAUUUCCUCCUUGAGGGGAUCUUUCCCGCCCAGGGAUUGAACCCAUUUCUCCUGCAUCUCCUGAAUUUCAGGCAGAUUCUUCAUCACUGAGCCACUGGAUGUUACUCUGGAUUCUAACACCUUGGGAGCCUGCAAUGAAUGUUAUGGAUUUUGUUUCCCAAAUUAAGGAGCGGACACCAAGGACAUCUUGUUCCAGACAUAAGGGCAGAAAUGAACCACCACAUCCA